CAAAGCUGGCGCGCGCGAACCUGGGGGGGCCAUAAUUGGCUGCUUAAUAGCAUUAAAGGAUAAAAAGAUAAUACCAAACGACACAGUAAAAAUGCAAACAAAGAACUGAUCUUCGCUAUACUGUUUGGGGAAAAGAAAUAAAAAAUUAGACAGCCGCAACACACGCCACUAAAGCCACCACCGCCGGCAUAACGCGGAACCAACAGUUGGCAACAUUCAUUCGCGCUUCAUUGUCCGCUUCGUCUCCGCAACGAGAGCCGCCAUCCUUUCGCGCCGGCCGUAUUGUCAUAGUUUUGUUUUUCUGCAAGUCCGCGCACACAGCUCAUCGGUAGCUGCACGGGUGCACGGCGUCGCAUUGCAACCUGCGGCAUUUUCUCGUGUUCGCGCAAUCGGUGUGAAACAUGUCGCAUGUGAAAUAUUUGAUAGAAGUGCCUCACGUCCAAGUCAAGCCGCCGUACGGGUGUAUGGCUGUGCGCCCCGUUCUCGGAAGCGUCGACGGGUUUCCGGCAUGCGGAUUUCAGCGUUUGGACUCGACUUUUGGUGAGGAUGUCGAUCGACCUUGGGCCUGGUGACAACACACCCGACAUGGCCAAAGUGCAGCCUAUCAGUUGAGUGCCCCCGAAUGGACCAUCAACAUCGGAAAAUGAAACAGAGCCAGGGGGAAAAGGUUCCGGUAACACCAUGCAUUCAGUAUGGUGGCCCAGACGUGUAUGCAAGCAAUCUCCUUCAUGUGGACCAAGAACUACUCUGCAGUGUCUCACAGACUUCCAUGCGAAGUCCUCAACAUUCUCGUCUCAGUGGAAUGGCUGCUCAUCUAUCUGCGUGUCCAUCACCAAGACGGCCAGUUGUAAAGCUCCUGUACCCGUUUAAGAAAGCUUAAUGAUUUUUUUAUUUAGUUUUCACGGUUGGCCGUAGAAUCUUAACAUUUUUGAUGUUUAUAACAUUUUUACCUGGCACAAGGUGGUGCAAUAACUUUAAACCAGUGUAAUGUAUUUAAGUGAUGCUCACUCUAAUGCCUAUCUGGUUUUGUUAGUGUUUAAGAAAUUUGUAUGUCUGAUGAGGUAACAGCAUUUGAAUUUGUCAUCGUGGCUCGUUUCAGUGAGCUGAUAGGAAAAAAGUUGCAAAACUUAUCACACGCCAGUUGUAGCAUUUUUGUUUUCAUGACUAUAGUAUACACGUUUCAAAAGAUGGAAAGUGGGGAAAAAAACCUGAAGAACAUAAUCAUCCUAGGAUUGUCAUGUCCUUACAACUCUGCAAUGAUAAUGCCUCAUACAUCUUGGGAGCACAUUGGUCACAAUGCCUACAGGUAUACUUGAUAAGAGAAUAGCUUGCACCCAGAUUUGCCACACAGUUGAUGGCUGAUGGCUUUUGUUUGUCGUCUUCAUGUUACUACUAUGUAUUCAAUAUUCAUUUAGAUGUAAAGGACACUAGAGGCACUGAAGUACCAAAUGGCACUUGCAUUUCAGGGGACAAAGUGCCCAGCAUGCCUGUCACAAAACUUGUUCUAGGGGCUACCUUGCCUCUAUAGGUAAAUGGAUACCAGAUGCUCUGUGUACAGCGUAAUCGGUGUACUUGUCUGGAGUGCUUGAAAGAUGUGCUACGGGCUGUACUGGCACUGUCUGAAGAUAAUGCAUGGUUCUAGAAAGCCUGCAGCUGAGCAUCUGCCACCAUACUGAAGGAACUGUCCUAAUUUUGUUGAUGUUGAAAUGUAGGAGCUGCAAUGAAUAGUUGUGAAUGUGGCAGUGCUGCCAAACUAAAGCACAAAUUACACACCUCGACUCACACAAUGCACUCUGAAAGUUUUGCUACGUGGUAUCUGUGUUUGCUGCCUGACCUUAUGGCACGUUUACGAGCCAUCGCAGGUGAUUGCAGCUGCUGAGGCUUUAUCAACUGGCAAGUUGAAAAAAUAAUGCUGU